rnacentral:rRNA from 1 species
GGGUUGUGAGGUUAAGCGACUAAGCGUACACGGUGGAUGCCCUGGCAGUCAGAGGCGAUGAAGGGCGUGCUAAUCUGCGAUAAGCGCCGGUAAGGUGAUAUGAACCGUUAUAACCGGCGAUACCCGAAUGGGGAAACCCAGUGUGAUUCGUCACACUAUCAUUAACUGAAUCCAUAGGUUAAUGAGGCGAACCGGGGGAACUGAAACAUCUAAGUACCCCGAGGAAAAGAAAUCAACCGAGAUUCCCCCAGUAGCGGCGAGCGAACGGGGAGGAGCCCAGAGCCUGAAUCAGCAUGUGUGUUAGUGGAAGCGUCUGGAAAGGUGCGCGAUACAGGGUGACAGCCCCGUACACAAAAGCGCAUGUGCUGUGAGCUCGAUGAGUAGGGCGGGACACGUGAUAUCCUGUCUGAAUAUGGGGGGACCAUCCUCCAAGGCUAAAUACUCCUGACUGACCGAUAGUGAACCAGUACCGUGAGGGAAAGGCGAAAAGAACCCCGGCGAGGGGAGUGAAAAAGAACCUGAAACCGUGUACGUACAAGCAGUGGGAGCACAGGUUUACCUGUGUGACUGCGUACCUUUUGUAUAAUGGGUCAGCGACUUAUAUUCUGUAGCAAGGUUAACCGUAUAGGGGAGCCGUAGGGAAACCGAGUCUUAACC